rnacentral:rRNA from 1 species
UAUUUAUUAGAUAAAAAACCAACGCCCUUCGGGGCUCCUUGGUGAAUCAUAAUAACUUAACGAAUCGCAUGGCCUUGCGCCGGCGAUGGUUCAUUCAAAUUUCUGCCCUAUCAACUUUCGAUGGUAGGAUAGUGGCCUACCAUGGUGGCAACGGGUAACGGGGAAUUAGGGUUCGAUUCCGGAGAGGGAGCCUGAGAAACGGCUACCACAUCCAAGGAAGGCAGCGGGCGCGCAAAUUACCCAAUCCCGAUACGGGGAGGUAGUGACAAUAAAUACUGAUACGGGGCUCUUUUGGGUCUCGUAAUUGGAAUGAGAACAAUUUAAAUCCCUUAACGAGGAACAAUUGGAGGGCAAGUCUGGUGCCAGCAGCCGCGGUAAUUCCAGCUCCAAUAGCGUAUAUUAAAGUUGUUGCAGUUAAAAAGCUCGUAGUUGAACCUUGGGUCUGGCUGGCCGGUCCGCCUCACCGCGAGUACUGGUCCGGCUGGACCUUUCCUUCUGGGGAACCUCAUGGCCUUCACUGGCUGUGGGGGGAACCAGGACUUUUACUGUGAAAAAAUUAGAGUGUUCAAAGCAGGC